rnacentral:rRNA from 1 species
CCUACGGGUGGCAGCAGUGGGGAAUAUUGCACAAUGCGGGAAACCCUGAUGCAGCGACGCCGCGUGAAGGACGAAGUAUUUCGGUAUGUAAACUUCUAUCAGCAGGGAAGAAAAUGCCGGUACCUGACUAAGAAGGUACGGCGAACUCCGUGCAAGGCGCCGCGGUAUUACGGCGGUGGAACACGUUGUCAGGAUUUACUGGGUGUAAAGGGCAUGUAGGCGGGCUGACAAGUCAGAAGUGAAAUACCAGGGCUCAACUCUAGUUCGGCUAGUGAAACUGUAGGACUUGAGUAUCGGAGAGGCAUGCAGAAUUCCUGGUGUAGCGGUGAAAUGCGUAGAUAUCAGGAGGAAUACC